rnacentral:rRNA from 1 species
GACGAACGCUGGCGGCGCGCUUAACACAUGCAAGUCGAACGGAAAGGCCUGCUUUCCCUUGUGGAUUGCGGGUACUCGAGUGGCGAACGGGUGAGUAACACGUGAGUGAUCUGCCCCCAACUUGGGUAUAAGCCUGGGAAACUGGGUCUAAUUCCCGAUAGGACUGCAGGGUGGUGCCUGUGGUGGAAAACGAUUUUCUAGUGGUUGGGGAUGAGCUCGCAGCCUAUCGGCUUGUUGGUGGGGUAAUGACCUACCAAGGCGGCGACGGGUAGCCGGCCUGAGAGGGUGGACGGCCACAUUGGGACUGAGAUACGGCCCAGACUCCUACGGGAGGCAGCAGUGGGGAAUAUUAGACAAUGGGCGGAAGCCUGAUGCAGCGACGCCGCGUGGGGGAUGACGGCCUUCGGGUUGUAAACUCCUUUCGACCGCGAGGAAGCCACCUGGUUGGAAGGGUGGUGACGGUAGUGGUAGAAGAAGCACCGGCUAACUACGUG